GUCACCAUGUGAUCCUGGGAUGAGGACGCCAAUGGAAGGCAUCCUAAAUAAGGCAUUUGUCAAUUGGAGAUAGCUUGUUGGCUAAAGGCAGAAGACAGUAUCCACUCCUCCCUCUCAAUGCUGGGACCUCAUCUGGUUUGAACCUGUGCUGCCUUGUGUGUGCUGAACAUUAUCUUUGAGUUUAUAUGUUAGUGCAGCUCUUCAUCAUCACAGAAGUUUCUUUAUGCAGUGGACAAUGUUAAUGCAGAAACUCACAAGCAGUCGGUGUGCAGAGGAAUCUGCCUCUCAGGCUGUGAGCUGCCCUGUAGAGAAAGCCCAACAGUAAGGAACAGGGAUGCCUUUUGGACAAGAACCAGAAAACAGCUCAACAUAAUAUGCCUGCCAGAACAUGAUUUUGC
rnacentral:lncRNA from 1 species